rnacentral:lncRNA from 1 species
AUACCGAAUGCCCAGAAAAUUUUUUUCUUGUGAGGGCUGGUGGGUAGAGCCUGGGUCUCUCACUAUAUUGCCUGGGCUGGUCUUGAACUCCUGGGCUCAAAUAAUCCUCCUGCCUUGGCCUCCCAAAAUGCUGAGAUUAUAGACGUGAGCCACUGUGCCCAGCCAGUAACUACCGUUUUGAUCAGAUCAUUUCUAGAGAAAUAUAUAUCCCCUCCUGAUUUUCUAUUGUCAAAGCCCCAGUAUCAGGCACUCAUCCCUUUCCAAUGUGGCACAAAGCAGGGGGCUUACCCCACUUCCAGGGCUGAAUCCUGGCUGAACUAAGCCCAUUUGUAUGGCCCCAUUCUCUUUCCAAUAAUAGGUUUAGGGGUGGGCUUGUGACUCAUUUCUAGCCAGUGGGACAUGCAAGAGAGGUGGAAUGCUGGGAGUUUAGAGGGAGAGUUUUCUCUGUUUCUGAAAAUACAAACACGAGAAACCAUGCUCCCUUUUUGGCACCCAAUGGUAUUUUGUUUCUAGAUGUGUUACUUAGGAAUGUGGCAGCUGUCUUGCCUCCACAGGGAGGACAGCGUCAAAAUAGAACUGAUGCUGAGGACAGCAGAGGAGAGGACAAGACAAACCUGAGUGGAUGGCAUCAUGGGGCCUCUGAUUGUUCCUGCAUCCAUUCCAUGUGGUUUAAGCCAGCCUCCCUCCUCCUGUGUCCCUGACAUACAGUGACAGUGCUGCUCUGCAGGAUGGCAUAUCAGAGAGCUCAGGAUGGAUGCAGUCAAGGACGACAGCCCAUGUCCAAAAAAGCUGCCUGCUGAACAUUUGCCCAGCAGAUUUUAUAAAGAAAGGAAACAUCUUAGUGAUUUUCUUGCCUCCAGAAGAUUCCCUGAUCCAAUCUUUCCUUGGCACAAACUUUUAGUUAUUGUGUUUACAUAUACAUUUUAUAUAUGCGUGGUCAUUAUUGUAUCUG